rnacentral:lncRNA from 1 species
AGCAGUUCUGCCUGGGAAGUGAUAGGAUUGCAAUGCAAGCAAGACAUAGUCUGGUGUUAGCAAAUCCUCAGCCUUGAAGGAAAACCCCUGGGAAUUGCAGCGACAGACUCCUGGGCUAGCCUACUUGAAGAUGAGACACCAUGUGGAGCAGAGAAGCCUUCCCAGCCGAGCCCCACAGACCAAACCGGGUUUCUAGUUGCAAGAUCAUCUAUCCCCAGUGGAGCUGCCAGCUUACUGGAGAGUCAGCUGAGCCAACCCAUGCCUGAAGAACUCUCAGCUGACCCAGAGAAUGAUGAGAAAUAAUAAACAUGAGAAAUAAAGUUUGUUGUUUUAAGCCACU